rnacentral:rRNA from 1 species
GAUGAACGCUAGCGGCAGGCCUAAUACAUGCAAGUCGAGGGGCAGCAUGAGUACUUGUACUUGAUGGCGACCGGCGCACGGGUGCGUAACGCGUAUGCAACCUACCCUUUACUGGAGGAUAGCCCGGGGAAACUCGGAUUAAUACUCCAUAGUAUUAUCAGAUGGCAUCUGAAGAUAAUUAAAGAUUUAUUGGUAAAGGAUGGGCAUGCGUAUCAUUAGUUAGUUGGUGAGGUAACGGCUCACCAAGACUUCGAUGAUUAGGGGGCCUGAGAGGGUGAUCCCCCACACUGGUACUGAGAUACGGACCAG